rnacentral:rRNA from 1 species
GAUAACCUCGGGAAACUGAGGAUAAACUUUGAUAGAAAAUGUUUUCUGGAAUGAGAUAUUUUUUAAAUUCGUGCCUAAGGAUGGGGCUGCGGCUGAUUAGCUAGUUGUUGGUGUAAUGGACUAACAAGGCAAUGAUCAGUAAGGGCUCUUAGCGGAGAGGCCCUGAGAAGGAAUCUGAGACACUAUUCCUAGCUCUACGGGGUGCAGCAGUUAAGGAACUUUUCCAAUGCUCGAAAGAGUGAGAAAAUUAGCCAGAGUGUUUUCUUUACGAAAACUUUUAUCUACUGUAAAAAGGCAGAUGAAUAAGGACUGGGCAAGACCGGUGCCAGCCGCCGCGGUAAUCCCGGCGGUCCAAGUCGCAUCCACAAUUAUUGGGUCUAAAACAUUCGUAGCUUGUUUUGUAAGUCUCUUGUGAAAUCCCAUAUCUCAAGUAUGGGGCGUGCAAGAGAUACUGCUUGACUAGAGACUGGAAGACGCAAAGAGUACGAUGGAGGUAGUGGUAAAAUAUGUUAAUCUUCAUCGGACUAACAAUGGCGAAGGCACUUUGCGAGUACAGAUCUGACAGUGAGGAAUGAAGGCUAGGGGCGCAAAAGGGAUUAGAUACCCCUGUAGUCCUAGCAGUAAACACUGCUCACUAAACAUUAGCACCUCCUCGAGAGGUGUUAGUGCUGUAGCGAAGGCGAAGAGUGAGCUACCUGGGAAGUAUAGUCGCAAGACCGAAACUUAAAGGAAUUGGCGGGGGAGCACA